rnacentral:rRNA from 1 species
AUUGAACGCUGGCGGCAUGCCUUACACAUGCAAGUCGAACGGCAGCACGGGUGCUUGCACCUGGUGGCGAGUGGCGAACGGGUGAGUAAUAUAUCGGAACGUACCCUAUUGUGGGGGAUAACGCAGCGAAAGCUGUGCUAAUACCGCAUAAUCCCUAAGGGGGAAAGCGGGGGACCGUAAGGCCUCGCGCAAUUAGAGCGGCCGAUACCUGAUUAGCUAGUUGGUGAGGUAAAGGCUCACCAAGGCAACGAUCAGUAGCUGGUCUGAGAGGACGAUCAGCCACACUGGGACUGAGACACGGCCCAGACUCCUACGGGAGGCAGCAGUGGGGAAUUUUGGACAAUGGGGGCAACCCUGAUCCAGCAAUGCCGCGUGAGUGAAGAAGGCCUUCGGGUUGUAAAGCUCUUUUGUCAGGGAAGAGACAGCAGCUCUAACACAGUAUGCGAAUGACGGUACCUGAAGAAUAAGCACCGGCUAACUACGUGCCAGCAGCCGCCGUAA